CAGCCGCCGCGGGAAUACGUUGGUGGCAAGCGUUGUCCGGAAUUAUUGGGCGUAAAGGGCUCGCAGGCGGUUCCUUAAGUCUGAUGUGAAAGCCCCCGGCUCAACCGGGGAGGGUCAUUGGAAACUGGGAAACUUGAGUGCAGAAGAGGAGAGUGGAAUUCCACGUGUAGCGGUGAAAUGCGUAGAGGUGUGGAGGAGCACCGGUGGCGAAGGCGACUCUCUGGUCUGUAACUGACGCUGAGGAGCGAAAGCGUGGGGAGCGAACAGGAUUAGAUACCCCUGUAGUCCCUGUCUCUUAUAC
rnacentral:rRNA from 1 species